rnacentral:rRNA from 1 species
UACAGAGGGUGCAAGCGUUGUUCGGAAUCACUGGGCGUAAAGGGUGCGUAGGCGGGUCUUUAAGUCAGGGGUGAAAUCCUGGAGCUCAACUCCAGAACUGCCUUUGAUACUGAAGAUCUUGAGUUCGGGAGAGGUGAGUGGAACUGCGAGUGUAGAGGUGAAAUUCGUAGAUAUUGGGAAGAACACCGGUGGCGAAGGCGGCUCUCUGGACCGACACUGACGCUGAUGUGCGAAAGCGUGGGGAGCAAACAGG